rnacentral:rRNA from 1 species
UACAGAGGUCUCAAGCGUUGUUCGGAUUCAUUGGGCGUAAAGGGUGCGUAGGCGGCGCGGUAAGUCGGGUGUGAAAUCUUGGAGCUUAACUCCGAAACUGCAUUCGAUACCGCCGUGCUUGAGGACUGGAGAGGAGACUGGAAUUUACGGUGUAGCGGUGAAAUGCGUAGAUAUCGUAAGGAAGACCAGUGGCGAAGGCGGGUCUCUGGACAGUUCCUGACGCUGAAGCACGAAGGCCAGGGGAGCAAACGGG